GAAAUACUAUUUUAGCAUCCAACUAAAAUAGUAGCAUCCAGCCUUGAAGCAUUGAAGCAUUUCAGCUACAAUUUUCUAAAAUUACAAUAGAAACUUCUAGAAUUGGAUGGCAGAGAAAGGUUGAUCUUCAUCUCACUUCUUGGUUAGACAGCUGAACAAUGCUAAGUUAACAGAAAUGUAGGGGUUUGACAUAAGGGGCUAUGUCUAGAGAUAUUUAGAGGUAAUUUAACUUUCAAUGUGUAACCUUAAUUAAAAGGUACAAACAAUGUCUGCUUCCAUUUUUAUUUUUUAGAGCAAUUCUUUCCCGACACCUACCCGCAAUGUAUCAUGUGAAAAAAUAAAAUUUUGGGUCCAAUAUGUGGAUUAAGAUAAUUUUUCAAGGACAGUAGUACCAAACAUGAUAAAAUAAUGUAACUAGCUGAAAGAUGGCAUUAUGUUUUGAAUAUUAUUUUUUUGUAACAGUAACCUAAGUAAUCCCAGGAAAGACAUGUCAGUUUGUGGAAGUAAGCAUGUUUUGUUCAUGUAAAGAUUCAAGUGGAUGCUACUACAAAUUGCUCAUCUUCAAACCUUACUGAAUUUGGUCACUAUGAACAAACAAAAUCUGAUUGAGAGACUAUGCCGAGCAAGGUGAUAAGUGGACUUUGUUGGCAGUUGUGAUGCCCGGAGCCAUGCUGUUCCAUUCGUGAUGAUGGGAGAAGAUAGCCAGAGGAACCAAGGCAAUACUUUGAGGAUGGCAGAGCAGGAAGCUGAGAUUCUGGGUACCUGAGAUAUUAUUUAGCUGCUGAAUAAGUCAACCUAAGAAACUUGAGUUUAGUACUUUUUUUUUUGAGACAGAGUCUCACUCUGUUGCCAGCCAGGCUGGAGUGUAGUGCAUGAUCUUGGCUCACUGCAACCUUCGCCUUCCAGGUCCAGGUGAUUCUCCUGCCUCAGUCUCCCGAGUAACUGGGACUACAGAAAGUAAUGAAUCAUCCA
rnacentral:lncRNA from 13 species